UACGAAGGGGGCUAGCGUUGCUCGGAAUCACUGGGCGUAAAGCGCACGUAGGCGGCUUUUAAGUCAGGGGUGAAAUCCUGGAGCUCAACUCCGAGAACCUGCCUUUGAUAUGAGAAGCUUGAGUCCGGGAGAGGUGAGUGGAACUGCGAGUGUAGAGGUGAAAUUCGUAGAUAUUCGCAAGAACACCAGUGGCGAAGGCGGAUCUCUGGGCCUUGCCUAACGCUGAGGCGCGAAAGCUGAGGGGAGCGAACGAGG
rnacentral:rRNA from 1 species